rnacentral:rRNA from 1 species
GUAGGUGGCAAGCGUUGUCCGGAAUUAUUGGGCGUAAAGCGCGCGCAGGCGGGUUCUUUAAGUCUGAUGUGAAAGCCCACGGGCUCAACCGUGGAGGGUCAUUGGAAACUGGAGAACUUGAGUACAGAAGAGGAAAGCGGAAUUCCACGUGUAGCGGUGAAAUGCGUAGAGGUGUGGAGGAACACCAGUGGCGAAGGCGGCUUUCCGGUCUGUAACUGACGCUGAGGCGCGAAAGCGUGGGGAGCAAACAGGAUUAGAUACCCUGGUAGUCCACGCCGUAAACGAUGAGUGCUAAGUGUUAGGGGGUUUCCGCCCCUUAGUGCUGCAGCUAACGCAUUAAGCACUCCGCCUGGGGAGUACGGCCGCAAAGGCUG